rnacentral:rRNA from 1 species
CAGCAGCCGCGGGAACACGUAGGGUGCAAGCGUUAAUCGGAAUUACUGGGCGUAAAGCGUGCGCAGGCGGUUAUGUAAGACAGUUGUGAAAUCCCCGGGCUCAACCUGGGAACUGCAUCUGUGACUGCAUAGCUAGAGUACGGUAGAGGGGGAUGGAAUUCCGCGUGUAGCAGUGAAAUGCGUAGAUAUGCGGAGGAACACCGAUGGCGAAGGCAAUCCCCUGGACCUGUACUGACGCUCAUGCACGAAAGCGUGGGGAGCAAACAGGAUUAGAUACCCCUGUAGUCCCUGUCUCUUAUAC